rnacentral:rRNA from 1 species
UACAGAGGGUGCGAGCGUUAAUCGGAAUUACUGGGCGUAAAGCGCGCGUAGGCGGCUUUUCAAGUCGAUUGUGAAAUCCCCGGGCUUAACCUGGGAACUGCAGUCGAGACUGUCUAGCUAGAGUAUGGGAGAGGGAAGUGGAAUUUCAGGUGUAGCGGUGAAAUGCGUAGAUAUCUGAAGGAACAUCAGUGGCGAAAGCGACUUCCUGGACCAAUACUGACGCUCAUGUGCGAAAGCAUGGGGAGCAAACAGG